GCCAGGGUACGCAAGCUGGUAAAGCGGCCGUUCUCAGAUAGCGGUGCAUGCGGGUUCGACUCCCGUCCCUGGUA
rnacentral:tRNA from 1 species